AUGGUUAUCAAGCUUGAUUUCAGAAAAGCUUUUGACUCCAUUUGCUGGUCCUCUCUCAUAUCUAUCUUACAAGCACUGGGUUUCCCUCCAAUCUUCUGUGCUUGGGUCAAAAACAUUCUCCUGACUGGCAAAACGGCUAUUCUCCUUAAUGGUAAUCCAGGGUCUUGGAUCCAAUGUAGAUGCGACCUUCGACAAGGGGAUCCAUUCUCGCCCUACUUGUUCACCAUCGUUGCCGAUGUCCUUCAAAGAUUGAUCGCCCAGGCUUUCUGA
rnacentral:rRNA from 1 species